UACAGAGGUCCCAAGCGUUGUUCGGAUUCAUUGGGCGUAAAGGGUGCGUAGGCGGCGCGGUAAGUCGGGUGUGAAAUCUCGGAGCUUAACUCCGAAACUGCAUUCGAUACUGCCGUGCUUGAGGACUGGAGAGGAGACUGGAAUUUACGGUGUAGCGGUGAAAUGCGUAGAUAUCGUAAGGAAGACCAGUGGCGAAGGCGGGUCUCUGGACAGUUCCUGACGCUGAGGCACGAAGGCCAGGGGAGCAAACGGGG
rnacentral:rRNA from 1 species